rnacentral:rRNA from 1 species
CGUACACUCCUACGGGAGGCAGCAGUGGGGAAUAUUGGACAAUGGGCGCAAGCCUGAUCCAGCCAUGCCGCGUGAGUGAUGAAGGCCCUAGGGUUGUAAAGCUCUUUCACCGGUGAAGAUAAUGACGGUAACCGGAGAAGAAGCCCCGGCUAACUUCGUGCCAGCAGCCGCGGUAAUACGAAGGGGGCUAGCGUUGUUCGGAUUUACUGGGCGUAAAGCGCACGUAGGCGGACUAUUAAGUCAGGGGUGAAAUCCCGGGGCUCAACCCCGGAACUGCCUUUGAUACUGGUAGUCUUGAGUUCGAGAGAGGUGAGUGGAAUUCCGAGUGUAGAGGUGAAAUUCGUAGAUAUUCGGAGGAACACCAGUGGCGAAGGCGGCUCACUGGCUCGAUACUGACGCUGAGGUGCGAAAGCGUGGGGAGCAAACAGGAUUAGAAACCCUUGUAGUCCCA